CUUUCUUCAACCAACAGGGAAUUAUUCAUCAAACUACAUGUCCCCACACUCCUCAACAAAAUGGUGUUGUAGAAAGAAAACAUAGGACCCACCUUGAAGCCUGUAGAGCUUUACUUUUUCAAUCCAAAUUACCAAUCCAUUUUUGGGGGGAUUGUUUAUUGACUGCUACCUACUUGCUUAAUAGGAUUCCAUCCAGAAUCCUUCACAACUAAUCCCCUUAUGAAAUAUUGUAUGGGAAGGCCCCUACUUAUUCACAUUUAAGGGCAUUUGGUUGUCUUGCCUAUGCCACUGUACCAAUCCCACAAAGAGAUAAGCUGAAACCUAGAGCUAUUUCCUAUGUUUUUCUGGGAUAUCCCUUUGCCAAAAAGGGUUACAGGCUAUAUGACCUAACUAGUAAGAAGUGUUUUGCGUCCAGGGAUGUUAUUUUUCAUGAAACUUGCUUUCCUUUUGACUCUGCUUCUGUUAUUACCUCUGGCUUAUGAAAUAUUGUAUAGUAAGACCCCUACUUAUUCACAUUUAAGGGCAUUUGGCUGUUUUGCCUAUGCCACUGUACCAAUCCCACAGAGAGAUAAGCUGAAACCUAGAGCUAUUUCCUGGGUUUUUCCGAGAUAUCCCUUUGCCAAAAAGGGUUACAGGCUAUAUGACCUAACUACUAAGAAGUGUUUUGUGUCCAGUGAUGUUAUUUUUCAUGAAACCUGCUUUCCUUUUGACUCUGCUUUUGCUGUUACCUCUGGUUCUUCUGCUUUUCCUUCUCGUUUUGUUUCUUCCCCUGAGCUUCCCUGUUCUGAAUUUGGUUUACCUGUUCCCCUCUGUCCUACUCCUCCUGCUUCUUUUCCUUCUGACUCCAGUCCUGUUUCAUCAUCCCUUCCUCCCUCCCUUCCUUCUCCUUCUGUUCCUCUUUCUGAUAUUACUCAUCCUGCUCCCACUCCUCUUUUUAACCCUGAUCCCCCCUUUAUGGAUUGAGACAGGCUUCCAGGAAGUGAUAUGCCAAAUUGUCUCAUGCUCUAUACUCCAGAGGCUAUGUCAAUUCUAUGAAUGACUACUCUUUAUUUGUCAAGGACCAGCCUGGGUGUUUUGUGGUCCUGGCAGUGUAUGUGGAUGACAUUAUUAUCACUGGAGAUGAUGUUGCUGAACUUUCUGCCCUCAAGC
rnacentral:lncRNA from 1 species